CGCCAUCUUGGGGGCGGGGUUCCCGGCAUGCCCCGCGGGGCGGACAAUACAGGCCCCGCCCUCCCUCCGAUCUGGUCCUGCCUACGUCCCUGCGGGACUCUAAACCCACCUGCAGAGUCUGAAGCGUGACAUCUUAGGCUCCACUUCUACCUGUACUUUCUGCGAAGGUCUGUGGACUCCGGCGAAGAUGACCCCGCUCCUCCUCCCUCCUCCUUGCUCAGAGGCAAGAAAAUCCUCUCUUAUGGAAUGCACAGCAUGAUGGGGAAAACAGACAAAAACAA